AGAAUUCUGCUUCUUUCCCAAAGUUUGUUUUUAAAUAAUUGUGCCAGAGCCCCUUCAUUUGCUGCUGCUUUGAGCCGUGUUCCCGGAGUGACCCCUCUCAGCAUCCCUUUGAUAUACAUCUGUGUAUCUUCAUGUCGUCAGGGCUAUUGUUGAGGCAGGACUAACCCCUCUUCCCCAGAUUGCAAAGCCCGUGCCCUCUGCCUGGCUCCCUACAAACAUGUGAGACAUGGCUGCUGCCAAAAUACUGCUGGAGCACAGGGUGUGCGUGACUCCAGGAGUACAUAGUCACUCAUGGGGCCCCGUGGCCACCUGCCAGCCUUUCAAUGAGGUGGUAACAUCCAGGCAAUUUGUGUUUGGAACAGCACAGCACACACAGUUCAGGUGCGAAGCAAAGUGGGAAGACAGAGGAGAGAAGUUUGAUUAUGUAGGUGCAUCCACAUGGCCAUUAACCACUAAUUUAUCCCCAGGUGAACUUUGUUCUCUUAAUUUCAAGAUAGGUGGCUUGUUAAGUUAGAGGGAUCAUUUUAUUGUGUGACCCUGAGGAAUCUUAAUUUGAAGAAAUGUAAGUUACUGUGAAAUGAUCCUCACACUCAAAAUACAAAGUUCUCCAUGAGAAGCGGAGGCAAUCUUGUAAUUGCAAACUUCUUCCAAAUUGUAUUUAAAAACGUACAGUACGUAGCUGCAAAACUGGCAUGAUGUUCUUACGGGACAGGAAAAUAACAAAGAAAUUCAGGGACAGAUGUGCCAUCUGUUGCUCUAAAAUCCCUGAUGGUGAAUUUUCAAAACCACUGAUCAAGAGAAGAGAGUUUUUCUUCUUUAGUACUUACUGUUCCAUGAGAAAGGCUCUGCCCUUUGUCAAGCAGGUCAUCAAGCCGACCUUUCAUUAUUCUAGGAUGAAGAACUUCUCUUAAUGUUCCUUCAGUUUCCUAGAGCCCUCAUCUUUGCCUAAUGAUAUGGAUAUUCCUUUUCCUAUUAAAUCCCAUCUGUAAUAUAUAUUUUUUCAUUAUACCUCACCAUAUUGUAACUUAAUUAGCUCCUUCCUCCCCACCUCCCCCCCAACCCCAACCUGUGCAUUGCUGAUAAGACAUGCCUGGUUAGCUUUGGGUCUUGGACUCACAGGAGGUCUCAUAUGCAAUCAGGAGUGGGUUGUGGCUGGGAACUGAGCUAUCUGGUGGCACUAGUCCAUCAGUGUGGGGGGUACGAGCUUACCUGCCAGGGAGCGCGGUGUGUGAGUUAACUGCCUGCACCUUUAUUUUAAGGAUUUUGAGCCAACAUGUUGGUUUGACUGAUGUGAUUUGGUGAGACAUUUCGAAUAGGAUUGGGGUGGGCAUGUUUCCUUUUGAAAACAGGGCUUCAGGAUCAGUGUAUCUCAGCAGUUAAUAGAGUAGUGCUGGUAGUUAAUUAAUUAAUCCCAACAUUAAAAGUCUUCUCCUGAGGUGUUUGUCCAUUUCUGCAAGUCUCAUAUCUUUCAAGGGUGCAUUAUUUUGACAAACUGAAGUAUUUUAUAUUUUAAGUUCAUGAUCAAGCUGAAAGCUGUCUUUGCUUAUAAUCCCACCUUUGUUAUUUUAGCAACUGCUGGAGUUGAAAAAAAGAGCAUUACUGUUUUAUUGCAUGUGUAAGACUGAAUCCUGGGGAAAUCUAGAAUGCAACACUGACAGCCCAGUUAAAGCUGAGCAGCUCUCAAGACACUUGCUGGAGCAUUGAAAAAUAUGGAGGGAAGGACAAAAGUGGUGUGAGAGGUUUGUUCUGGUGCUGGGGGAACAAGACUCUUGGCAGCCUCACACGGGCUCUUCGGGAAGUGGGAAACAAUUAGUGUAGCAUGCAUCUCUGAAUCUCAUCAUUAAGCAUAAACCUUGUUUUGGUCUUUGAAGAGACUGAAGAAGUACAGAGAUUGGAAAACUCCAAAAUGCGAAGAAUUUUGGGUUAAAGUUUCCCAUGUGUCUCCAGCUGUGUUCCUGCCUUCAGCACAGGUCUAGGAGCCGUCCUGGAAACAGUCCCAGGGCAAGAGAGCUCCUGGGACCUGUGCCUGUCUGCAAGCAAAGAAGAAGGAAAAGUCUUUGGUAUCUUCCCUGGCAUGUUUAUUCCUACCUUUUAUUCCAGCAAACACAUCACUUCUUGCGUGUUCCCCUGUGACCCAAGUAUUGGAUGGAACUGAGGUAAGCUAUGUAUAGACAUCGAUAUAGAAUUCCAGUACAAACAUACUUUGGGAUGAUUAUAAUCAACCAAAAUUACGGGGUUUUGCUGUGUCAUGUCUGAGAGCCCAUCUGGUACUUCAGAAUUGCACUGAAAGUACAGAUACCAUGUACACUGCAGGGAAAAGCCAGCCUGUCUUCCUGAUAACCUCCUUGUCGGUACCAGAAAACUGCUAUAAGGUCCCCCUGAAGCCAUGUCUUUCCCAGGCUGAAGAAGCUUUGGUCCAUCAGCCUGUUCUCACAGGGGUGGUGGAUGAUCUCAGUAGGCUGGUCUCCCAGGUCUGCAUCCUACAAACAUCGCAUCUGGUCAUGCAGCAGUGGGAGGACUGCAGAGUCAUAAAUGAAUGUGAAAAUUGGAUCUCCAGGCAAAGGUUGUUUCCUUGCAAUGCCUGAUGGAGAAGACGGGUGAGGAAGCCCAACGUCUCUGGCCUUCUCUGCAGUGGGAAGUUUUAGAGCUGUUUUAGCAAUGUGGAAAUGGCGUUUGUGCUUAAAAUGGAGCAAACACUGCUGCAGACAGACUUCAGGUGCUUUUACAAGGUGUAAGAGAAAUCUGUCCAGAUCAGGUCCCCACGUCUCAGCAAUCAAACUCCGCCUGCUCUGCUGUGGGACUCCGCUGGCAGGCUGCAGUGGUGAGAACUUCAAAUGGAAAAAAAUCAGAACAAAUUCAUGCUGUCUGCCACGGAGAGCAUGGGCCUUUGAGACACCGGAGGAACUGCCAGGAGUUUUGUAUAUGACCAGCAUAUGUUUAAAACAACAGCCAGGGUGGAAGUGCACCUUCAGGCCAGCAUGGCCCAAGGAGACAGUUAAAUGGUUUCAGAUACAUAAUUGCUCUCUCCAACUUCAGCAAGACUUCUCAAAUGCUUGGUAUUUCAAACAUGUUUUAAGUGUGGGUCGAUGUCACAAAACCGUGACAGCUUGACAUCUCACGCAUGACUGAUUUAUGACAGAGGUGGCAGAAUGGCCAAGUGCUUUAAUAGGCUCUGUUUUUUCAUCCCCUCUUCCCUGGAGGAAGAGGGAGCAUCUUUCUCCAGAGAGACAUGGGUUUAUAGUCCACAUUUUACUAAUUAUUCAGUGAUAAUCAGUGCACACACAUAUACAUGCACUUUUUUUCUUUUUUUCUAUGUCAAUUUUACUUAAUUUUUAUACACAUACAAUCAGCAAAGUCACAGAAAUUCAACACAGAAAAUAAAUGUCAAUCAAAAGGGACAAAUGUUACAGAAGAUGAUAUUCCAGAGCAAGGAAGAGCUGAAAAAAAAAACCACACAAAGGCUGAGAUUAGAAAUUGUAUGAUGUCAAAAAGAGUCAAUAAAAAAUAAAGUAUAUCUUGAUAAAGCGUAAAAGAUAAUUAAAUUUCAAAA